GGCACUAUAGCCAAGUGGUUACGGCGACAGAUUCGAACCGCUCGCUAUCUGUUCCUCUCUGAGGGCGCAGGUUCAAAUCCUGCUGGUGUCG
rnacentral:tRNA from 1 species